rnacentral:rRNA from 1 species
AUGUAUAACCUUCCUCCUUGGAUGUGCAUGAAGCGGAAGUUCAUUAUGAUGCCAGUUCUCAUCCAAGGCCCUAAGCAACCCGGCAACGACAUUGAUGUGUACCUAAGGCCAUUAGUUGAAGAACUUUUACAGCUGUGGAAUGGAAAUGGUGUACGUACGUGGGAUGAGCACAGACAGGAGGAAUUUAACUUAAAGGCGUUGAUGUUCGUGACCAUCAAUGAUUGGCCCACUCUCAGUAACCUUUCAGGACAGACAAACAAAGGAUACCACGCAUGCACGCACAUUUUGGAUGACACUGAAAGUAUAUACAUGGACAAAUGCAGGAAGAAUGUGUACCUGGGCCAUCGUCGAUUUCUUCCGACCAACCAUCAAUGUCGAAAGAAAGGCAAGCAUUUCAAAGGCGAGGCAGAUCAUCGGAAGAAGCCUGCCAUGCGUACCGGUGAUCACGUACUUGCUAUGGUCAAUGAUUUACACGUAAUCUAA